rnacentral:tRNA from 1 species
GUCCGCGUAGCUCAAUUGGAUAGAGCGUCGGCCUCCGAAGCCGAAGGUUUUGGGUUCAAGUCCCGACGCGGACG